ensembl:lncRNA
AAGACACACAGGCAGGUUUCAUUUCUAACUAGUCACGAUGCCAGAGAGCGAUAGACCUCAACACACUUGGAUACCUCGAGUAAUAAGGUGUAUCUCUGUGAUUUUCUUCAUCCUGUUUAAUGUUCAAGCGAUAGUUGGAUGUGUGUACUUUAAUGACUGUCCAAGGGCGCCCUCCAUUCCCGUCAUUCUGGUUUUUUGUGGAUUCAUACCUGUCUUGUGGGGAUUGAGCCGGUUUUUGAACAGGUGCAAUAUUUUCUUCGACUGUCUGUUCUUCAUCCUCGAUUUUGCCAUAUUCAUCAUCGGUAGCAUAAUCGUCUACUCCAUCUAUGAACCCGACUACAACAAGAACGCUACAGAAACCGAUCACUACUGCAACAAGACGCUCUACCUGUCUGCAUUUUGUUGCAUCACCCUGACCUACGUCCUGACAGGUGUUUAUGUUUUCACUUAUUUUUUUGCUCUCUGCACCAACCAGAUGGUUUACGAUGAUGAGGAUCGGCCACUGCUGUGGAGCUAAUCAUAUGAAUGUGUGUACGUUUGUGUGUUCCCCAACUCCUCUUAGACCAGUGGACCAAUACUGAUGAAACAGAUUAAAAUGGUUUCACAAUAAUAUAUAUCAUAUCAAAUAUAUCAAACUAUAAUGGACAUAUACUAAUAAUAAUAAUGAUGCUGGCUGUAAUAAAAUCACAAGCAAACAACAAACCAAAUAUUAUACAAAUAUUUUCAUGUGUGCUUAUAUACAGAACAUAAUACAUUUAAUGUUGGUUAAUACAGCAACAUGCAGUUUUUGAUCUUUUGUUAGAGAAAUCUUACUAUUAACAAGUCAUACAGAUGACUCAUCAUAGCAGAAUAAAUGAUCAUGAUCUUCCCUGUUUAACAAACGAAUAUAUUUUGUUUUAUUAAAUGUGUGAUUUUAUUUAUUUUCCAAUAUCCAUGCUGUUUCUUUCUUCUUCUUCUUCUUUUUAAUUGUAAGUAAAUAAAUAAAUAAAAUGGGUUAGGACAACAGGACAACCUGUUGUUGAUUGGUUCUUGUUGUUUUGAGACAGCAGCUUUGAUCAUUGAUGUGUGGUGUAGAUUUAAGCUGCUUCAAACUUCUCUUGUACCUCCGCUAGUUUGUAAGUUAACACCAGAGCACUAUUACAUUACAAACACCCCUUUUUUAUUUUAUUUUAUUUUAUUUUAUUUUAUUUUAUUUUUGCUUUGCUCUAUGCUCUAUGAGAAAACACACUUCUACCCUGUGGGGCAAGGAAUCGCCUGCAGUAAUAUUUGAGGCCACUAGAUGUCCCCCUAAUGCCUCUACAUCAUGCAGUAAAUAAUUGUUAUGACUGAAUCUCGAAUAACAAAUUUUCUCAACAUUAUUCAUUUUCUUUGCAUUAUUAAUAUAUAUCCUAUUUUGCCUUUUGACAUGAUUUUUUUUCUACACUCAACCAUCAGUGAAAUUAAAUUAUUAAAAAUAAAAGAGAGUGGUGUUGGAACUGAGAACAGGGCGUGUAUUUCACAAGAAGCAGAAAGACCUCGUCCGGCACAGGAAGUGCACUUAUACUCUGUCUACAACAAUGUUUAUGCGAAUACGAGGGGAGGCUGAUGGAAACCUCUUCUGGGAGUAAAACUGUCAGUUAGAAAAGAAGAACCAUGGCCUACUCUCAUAAGAUUCUGGGGUUUUCUUCAACAGAGGUGUUUACGUUUGUGCUCUGAUCUGUGAACACAAAAGAGA